rnacentral:rRNA from 1 species
UGGUGCACCAGUUGUCGUGCCAACGGCAUAGCUGGGUAGCUACGUAUGGACGAGAUAAACGCUGAAGGCAUCUAAGCGUGAAACUCCCCCUAAGAUGAGAUCUCUCACCCCUUGAGGGGUAAGGCUCCAGGAAGACUACCUGGUUGAUAGGCCGGAGGUGGAAGCGUGGUAACAUGUGAAGCUGACCGGUACUAAUAAGCCGAGGGCUUGACCUUA